rnacentral:rRNA from 1 species
GGCGAACGGGUGAGUAACACGUGGGCAAUCUGCCCUUCACUCUGGGAAAGGCCAGGAAACGGGGUCUAAUACCGGAUAACACUCCCACGGGCAUGGGAGGGGGUUAAAAGCUCCGGCGGUGAAGGAUGAGCCCGCGGCCUAUCAGCUUGUUGGUGAGGUAACUUUCCCACCAAGGCGACGACGGGUAGCCGGCCUGAGAGGGCGACCGGCCACACUGGGACUGAGACACGGCCCAGACUCCUACGGGAGGCAGCAGUGGGGAAUAUUGCACAAUGGGCGAAAGCCUGAUGCAGCGACGCCGCGUGAGGGAUGACGGCCUUCGGGUUGUAAACCUCGUUCAGAAGGGAAGAAGCUA